UUAAUAAAGAAGAUGUGGAAACGGACGGGGAAAGGGAAGGGAAAAGGAGGUAUGGAAGAGGUGAAGAAAAGUACACCUGUGGAGGCGGUGUUAGUACAGGAAACAGUUCUGGCAAGGUAAUUUGCUCUAAGCGAUCCUUAAAAUGUGAUAUCUGCUCAUUCUACUUGUCUGGGAUAUAUGCUGUAGGAUUUCAGUACUACUAGGAUAACCAGGUGUAACUUCGGGCCCUCUGUCGUCCGUCCGGGAAACUACUAACCAGCUGGGGAUGAACCCUGCCUGGGGAUUGUCGCGCUCCGCUCCCUGCUUGCCGCUAGGAGCCUCAGCGAGCCUCACCGAGGGCCGAGGCUGCCUGACUGCCUCAGUGCUCUGGGACGCUGUGUCCAGUGAAGACGUGUAGAUCUACGCUGCGCUGUUCUCGCUCACGCUGUGUCCUUGAAAGCACUCAUUCAAUACACCUAUAGUGAUAUAACGUCAAUGGCGACUCUUGUGACGUAACUGAUACCAAGUCCGCCCACCACGACCGCAACUCCGCCCGACCUGUGCCGCCCGUCCACCCGCACCGGCCCGCCCACGCAUCACCUAUGUGCCACAGAUAAGGCCUCCUGGCGCUGCUUGUCCCUUGGGGCGCGGGAUAAUUCCGUGCGUGCGGGAACGGUUCGAGUGCCUUGUAUUCAGAUUACGGUCGAGGUUGAGUGAGGGUCGUGGGGAUCCCAAAUGCGGACCAAGAUGCGCAUGCCGAGCAAGAAGCAGUACAACCUGGUGACCAACGAUGACUACGACUCCCGCAUCCCGCUGCACCCCGAGGAAGCCUUCAACCAUGGGAUCAAGUUCAACGUCAAGGUCAGUGGUGGUUGAUGUUGCUGUUGUUCUUCCUUCUCCUCCUCCUCCUCCUCAGCCAACACGUUUUCUUUCCACGCCCCGCUUCCCUUCUUGUUUUACUCCGGUGUUCUCGCUAGCUUGGUUCCUUCCCUAUUGCCUCCCCCGUUGUUCUUCUUCCAUCUCUUGGUCUAUUUUUCGGUUUCCUUCUCCCGUGAUGUGUGUGUGUAUUGCUUCUUAGUUUCCAUUUGGUCACUCGUUUAUGGCCAGAAUGUCUUGGUGUUUGUAAAAUGUGCAUCUCUCUCUCUCUCUCUCUCUCUCUCUCUCUCUCUCUCUCUCUCUCUCUCUCUCUCUCUCUCUCUCUCUCUCUCUCUCUCACGCAUCGUCUCAUCAGCUUGCCAUGUCUUUUUUCAGUUUAUUAGGUGUGUUUUCAGUUCACUGCAGUGGUACGUAAGUGGGCGUAUGUAUUAUUGCUUGUAUUGACCGUGUACGACUCCUGUCUGUUACCUAUAUGGCUCAAGGUGGGGCUGAUUGAGCUCACCUUGGCUCGGGUAUGGGCCCUCGUCCCGGCUGAGUCUUCUUUAAAUGCUCAGCAGGGAAAUACAAAUGUUUGCUCUUUUGCUUAAUAGACAAGGCCGCCCCAUCAAUAUAUGAACAUGUUUAUACUCCCAACACGACCACCACCAAAACCACCGUCACUGCCGCCACCACCACCACCACCACCACCACCACCACCACCCUUGCCACCUUUGUUUAUUGGAUCACCGCAUCAACUACUAAUUUAUUGUGGAAGUUAAGUAUUUAAAGUCAGUACCAGAGCACCAAGUGAUGGGAUUAUUGCAUCUUUUUUCCGAUCUUGGGUCCUCGUGUCUCUUCAGUUUGCUACUUUGCCGGACUGUCCCGCCGCGUGUUACGUGAACAGCGGUGAUCAUUAUGUUGAACACGGCUGGACUGGCGGGUUGUGGAUGGAAGACGGUCAUGGUUUAUGUAACUCUAAUAUUGACAGAGCUACGAAAUUUCUUUGUUUAUCUUUCCGCUUCAUUUUCUCACAGUAGAGAUUAACCUUACCGUCCCGUCACUAAGGAUUCUCACGCUGCUCCAUCCAAAAAACAUAUUUCAUAACAGUUUUCACGGAUUUUCGGAACUUUUUAUUUUCCUCCCUCUGCAGUCUUGCUAUAAAGUCGAUGGUGGCAGCACGGUUCACCAACACUAGCAGGCUGCAUACCACAGAUAGCCUCGGUCGUUGCUGCACGUGAAGACAAUCAAUAGCUAUGUAGAGUCAUGCAUUACCCUCAUUGAUCCGAGGCCGAGCAGGACGCAACUCCACCCUCGUGCAACGCUCACAUGCUUGCCUAGAGUCACGGUCGAAAUUCUUAACAUGCCACACUCUUUUCUUAUUUGUUUUAGUGUUGGCCUCAAUUUUAACUCCUCUGAUCCUUUGACA